rnacentral:rRNA from 1 species
CGGGGUGAGUAAUGUCUGGGAAACUGCCUGAUGGAGGGGGAUAACUACUGGAAACGGUAGCUAUACCGCAUAACGUCGCAAGACCAAAGAGGGGGACCUUAGGGCCUCUUGCCAUCGGAUGUGCCCAGAUGGGAUUAGCUAGUAGGUGGGGUAAUGGCUCACCUAGGCGACGAUCCCUAGCUGGUCUGAGAGGAUGACCAGCCACACUGGAACUGAGACACGGUCCAG